rnacentral:rRNA from 1 species
GACGAACGCUGGCGGCGUGCUUAACACAUGCAAGUCGAGCGGAAAGGCCACUUCGGUGGUACUCGAGCGGCGAACGGGUGAGUAACACGUGAGUAAUCUGCCCCUGGCUUCGGGAUAGCCACCGGAAACGGUGAUUAAUACCGGAUAUGACCAUUGCACGCAUGUGUGGUGGUGGAAAGUUUUUUCGGCCAGGGAUGUGCUCGCGGCCUAUCAGCUUGAUGGUGAGGUAAUGGCUCACCAUGGCUUCGACGGGUAGCCGGCCUGAGAGGGUGACCGGUCACACUGGGACUGAGACACGGCCCAGACUCCUACGGGAGGCAGCAGUGGGGAAUAUUGGACAAUGGGCGGAAGCCUGAUCCAGCAACGCCGCGUGAGGGAUGACGGCCUUCGGGUUGUAAACCUCUUUCGCCUGUGACGAAGCGCAAGUGACGGUAGCAGGUAAAGAAGCACCGGCCAACUACGUGCCAGCAGCCGCCGCGGUAA